UGCCAGCAGCCGCGGUAAUACGAAGGGUGCUAGCGUUGUCCGGAAUUACUAAACGUAAAGAACAUAUAAACAAAUGAAUUAGUCAGAGGUGAAAGCCCCGAGCUCAACUUGGGAACUGCCUUUGAUACUGUUUAUCUAGAGUCCGAGAGAGGUUAGUGGAAUUCCCAAUAUAGAGGUGAAAUUCGUAGAUAUUGGGAAGAACACCAGUGGCGAAGGCGGCUAACUGGCUCGGUACUGACGCUGAGAUGCGAAAGCGUGGGGAGCAAACAGGAUUAGAUA
rnacentral:rRNA from 1 species